rnacentral:lncRNA from 1 species
GUUUUAGAAACUUUAGAGUGUUUUCUAUCCAAAUCUACUAAUUAUAUGCAUAUUCUCGUUUCUGGGCAAGAGUAGUAACCAGUUUAAAUCGGGUAUGUUUUUUAUCCGGCCGUGCAAAUACUGCCCCCUAGCCCCAACAGGUUUUAAUCUGGAUGGUCUCCCUUUGUUCAAAAGUACCAAUAUGUCAUUAUGGCCACUUUUGUGCUCCAUCAAUCUAUCACCACCCACAGUGUUUCCUCUGUUACUUGCAAUGGCAUCAUCGAAACCAAGCUCCCAGGAAUUCCUCAAUGACACUUUGCUGGAGCUUAAAGAGUUGAUGCAGACCGGCUUGAAGUGGGGAGACACAACACUGCAAGUGAAAGUUUGUUCUGUAACAUAUAAUGCACCUGCAAAAGCCAUGGUAAAAUGCAUAAAGAUGUAUUCUGGCUACUAUGGCUGUGACAGGUGCACACAAAAAGGCAGGUAUGAUUGGAGGAUGAUGUACCCGCAGGUAAAAAACAUGUGUCCCAGAACUGACAAAUCCUUUAGGGAAUUGGUACAGCCAGAACAUCACCUUGAAGGGAAAACCUCUCCUUUUUGCAUCCUCCCCAUUGAUAUGGUGAAGUCAUUCCCAAUUGACUAUAUGCACCUUUGUUGCCUCGGAGUAACCCGGAAGCUCUUGAUGAUGUGGACUAGGGGAAAGACUGGGGCCAGGUUGGCGUUGGUGCAAGUCAAGGAGGUAAGUCAACAACUAAACCGACUAAAGGAUUCAAUUCCAGACUGCUUUGCUCGCUAACCACGGGGAUUGGAUGACCUUGACCGUUGGAAGGCCACAGAAUUCAGACAGUUUCUACUCUAUACUGGGAAAGUAGUGCUGAGAAGAAUCUUGUCUAAAGAACAGUACACACACUUCAUGGCCUUCAGUGUUGCCAUGUGCAUUUUGGUUUCUCCUCAACUUUCUUCAAUCCACAGUGCCUAUGCUCAUGCUUUACUGAACUUCUUUGUGGAGCAGGGAAGGGUUUUGUAUGGUGACACAUUUCUCGUGUAUAAUGUUCACUCCUUCUACACCUCACUGCUGAUGCUGAAGAACAUGGCUGCCUUGACAACUGUAGUGCUUUCAAGUUUGAGAACUACUUGCAACAACUAAAGAAGAUGAUCCGUUCAGGGAGGCGGCCACUUGUGCAAAUUUGUAAAAGAGUGCAAGAACGCACCGUUAGAGCUUCUCCCCGCCAACAGGUCAUCAAAAUGAGACGGCCAAACGAUGCCUACAUACUUAAUGAUAGGUCAUGCUGUGAGGUAGUGAGCCAACAAGAUGCCUCAGAUACUUACCUCUGCAGGGUGUUUCAGCAUCUGGAAUCUUGCACGCUGAGUCCUUGUGACUCAAGACUGUAUUGGACUUUCCUCACCACUACGAGGAGCACACAAAUGCAUCUCAUUGCAAAGAGCAGUCUUGUUAAGCAAGCUAUUAUACUUGAGGAGGACCAUGGCACUCGUGUUGUGCUUACCAUCUUGCACAGCCUGUAGCAAGCCCCAUUUAGCUACAGCCAAGUUCACAAGCUGGAUUAGUUUUGCAAACUAUCUUGGCUGGUAAAUCAAGAGACUGAACAGUGUGGAAUUGGUGUUUUGCUUUUCUACACAGGGCACACAGUGUUAUUAUGUUGUACAUUUUGUAAAAGAGAACACUGUUGAAGUUGUACCAGAGCAGUGGGUGGAGAAGAGAGAUGGGGUGAGUUGAUCAGUUAAAUGGUUUACCCUUUUCAGGCAAAGGGAUGGAUAAAUAGUUCACUUUAAACAGUGUCUCAUAUCUUGCAGGUCCUGUGUUGCUACUGGCCAAGAAAUGCCAGCGCAACAAUGAUUAAGAGAUGAGACCGGCCUGACAAAAUAUUAUGGGAGAAGUACAGAAUUUCCAUCUUUUCAUCCACUGACAAUUACUCUGUGGCAGAGCAAUGAGCCAAAUGGGGGGUUGACACCUCCAAUGUUGAAUCUGACGAGGAACCAGCGAAGAGGGCGGUGACUAAACCAAUCAGAUUCCGUGUGGAGGCACCUGAUGAUGAUGGAAGUGAAGCACUCCAGAAAAAGACAAAUGAACCCAGAUAAGCACAGCUUCCAGUUCCCCAGCUUCCACCAGCCCCUAGUGCAACUUCAAGAUCCAGUGUCUUUGAAAAGACCCUACAAGUUGCAGAUGCCGAGGACUUGAGGCCAUGUGCCACCUCAAGCCAGAGCGACAGUAAGUGUCUGGUUGUAGUUUGUUAGGGUAAACAAUUUAAUUGUAUGAAGUAUUAUAGCUUUACAAACCUUUCAAAGCCACUCAAUAGAAUACAAUUACCAUCACAUUUUUGCAUAUUAGGUUAUUUCAAGUCUUAUUUCUACUUUGUGCAUACUGUUAGAACUUUCCAAAUACUUGUGGUGCUGUGUAUGGGUGAAACUUGUAUUUACAACAGUAGUGAAAUCACCAUAUUCUUCUUGGGUAAAACACAAGUGUGAUGCCAUGUUUGUAAAUAUCUGUAUGCAUUUGCCAUCAAACUAAAAGCAUUAUUUAAAACAAAAAAAUAUGCUUAGCAUUUAUUUUUGUUGGGAUUCAUUAACCUUCCCACUGAGCUCCUGACUGACAUCCCUUCACUCUUGGUUCUGUGCCAGUUUCAAAAGCAUGCAAAGUAUGUCUUCAUUUUUUCCUUCUGUUUUCUCAGUUAGUCCAAGUGGCAGCCAGGAAGAAGCUGGCCAAGACACAGCAUCAGAAUCAGGUUUCUUUAGCCAUCAAGAUAUUGAUCUCGAAGUCGUAAAUGUAGAAAGUUUAAAUAACAGCAUGAUUUUUUACUUAUAUUUUAGACCAAGAGCUGCCAUCCCUGCUUGAUGAGCCUAUGGCUUCUGAGAUGCAUGCUGGAUACAUUAAAGAUCUUCAAGCAGUGGAGAUGAGGAUAAUGGUGAAACUGGAGAUGAUCCGUACAGAGUUCAAGACUGUUCUGAACCAAGUUCUGGAGGCCA